UGGCGGCGUGCUUAACACAUGCAACUCGAACGAUGAAGCCCUUCGGGGUGGAUUAGUGGCGAACGGGUGAGUAACACGUGGGCAAUCUGCCCUUCACUCUGGGACAAGCCCUGGAAACGGGGUCUAAUACCGGAUAACACUCCUACUCGCAAGGGUGGGGGUUAAAAGCUCCGGCGGUGAAGGAUGAGCCCGGGGCCUAUCAGCUUGUUGGUGAGGUAACGGCUCACCAAGGCGACGACGGGUAGCCGGCCUGAGAGGGCGACCGGCCACACUGGGACUGAGACACGGCCCAGACUCCUACGGGAGGCAGCAGUGGGGAAUAUUGCACAUUGGGCGAAAGCCUGAUGCACCGACGCCGCGUGAGGGAUGACGGCCUUCGGGUUGUAAACCUCUUUCACCAGGGAAGAAGCGAAAGUGACCGUACCUGCAGAAGAAGCGCCGGCUAACUACGUGCCAGCAGCCGCGGUAAUACGUAGGGCGCAGGCGCUGUCCGGAAUUAUUGGGCGUAAAGAGCUCGUAGGCGGCUUGUCACGUCGGGUGUGAAAGCCCGGGGCUUAACCCGUGGUCUGCAUUCGAUACGGGCUAGCUAGAGUGUGGUAGGGGAGAUCGGAAUUCCUGGUGUAGCGGUGAAAUGCGCAGAUAUGAGGAGGAACCCCGGUGGCGAAGGC
rnacentral:rRNA from 1 species